UGCAUAACUCGCCAAAAGAGAUGACUUGGU
rnacentral:piRNA from 1 species